ACCUACAUAUAUUGAGUAUAUUGGGUAAGAGAUUUGUGCUAUAUGUUAAUAAGAUAAUCAUUGUUAAUUAUGAAAACAUGUAUAAAAUGUUAAUAUAUCAUUGAAUGAUAUAUAAAUUUUGAUCACAACAAAUAUUGUAAUAAUAAUUUUACAAAAAAUAACAGCAUAAAUGUGAAAAUAAUUCGAGAUGAAUCUGGAAAAAUGAUUCAUACAGCCGAAGGGAUUCUGUGAAUAUGUAAACAGCGAUGGAAAUAUCUCAUUAAAAUUUGUACGGACAACAAAUUCGUGCUGUAACGAAUCAUCAUUUAAAAUUGAAAAUGAGAGCAUAAUAUCAUGCAGCACAAUGGUAAACACGCAAGAAAAUAAUUGCAAAAAUGUACAAAAAUUGAUAAUGGCAUAUGAGUUCUUACUUUCUUCAUCAAACAGUUCUGAUGAAGAGUUAUAAUAUAAAGAACGUAUUUUAGAAGGGCUACGAGCCAAUGAACAAUUUUUCAAUAUAUGUUUAUUGUAAUAAACAUUUUUUUUCGACCUCUUUAUUGGGUCAUCCUCAGUGUUAGUGUUUAAGUUCUAUAAACCGCAAAUCAUAUUUACGCAAGCCAGGCCGUUAG